rnacentral:rRNA from 1 species
AGGUUACUGCUAUCGAGGUUCGACUAAGCCAUGCGAGUCGAAUGUAGCAAUACAUGGCGUACUGCUCAGUAACACGUGGACGACCUACCCUUAGGCCUGGGAUAACCCCGGGAAACUGGGAAUAAUACCGGAUAUCUCGCGAAUGCUGGAAUGCGUCGCGAUAGAAAGCUCCGGCGCCUAAGGAUGGGUCUGCGGCCUAUCAGGGUAGUAGUGGGUGUAACGUACCUACUAGCCUACGACGGGUACGGGUUGUGAGAGCAAGAGCCCGGAGAUGGAUUCUGAGACACGAAUCCAGGCCCUACGGGGUGCAGCAGGCGCGAAAACUUUACAAUGCCGGCAACGGCGAUAAGGGGACCUCGAGUGCCAGGAUACAAUCCUGGCUGUCGUAAUGCCUAAAAAGCAUUGCAUAGCAAGGGCCGGGCAAGACCGGUGCCAGCCGCCGCGGUAACACCGGCGGCUCGAGUGGUAACCGCUAUUAUUGGGUCUAAAGGGUCUGUAGCCGGCUGACUAAGUCUCUUGGGAAAUCUGACAGCUCAACUGUCAGGCUUCCAGGGGAUACUGAUCGGCUCGAGACCGGGAGAGGUGAGAGGUACCUCAGGGGUAGGGGUGAAAUCUUGUAAUCCUUGAGGGACCACCAGUGGCGAAGGCGUCUCACCAGAACGGAUCUGACGGCAAGGGACGAAAGCUAGGGGCACGAACCGGAUUAGAUACCCGGGUAGUCCUAGCCGUAAACGAUACUCGCUAGGUGUC